rnacentral:rRNA from 1 species
CCUACGGGAGGCAGCAGUAGGGAAUCUUUCACAAUGGGCGAAAGCCUGAUGGAGCAACGCCGCGUGCAGGAUGAAGGCCUUCGGGUUGUAAACUGCUUUUAUAAGCGAGAAAUAAUAUGGUAACUUAUGAAUAAUGAUCGGCUAACUCCGUGCCAGCAGCCGCGGUCAUACGUAGGAUCCGAGCAUUAUCCGGAGUGACUGGGUGGAAAGAGUUGCGUAGGUGGCAUAAUAAGUAGCUAGUGAAAUCUGGUGGCUCAACCAUUCAGACUAUUAGCUAAACUGUUAAGCUCGAGACCGUUAGGGGCAUCUGGAAUUUCUAGUGUAGGAGUGAAAUCCGGAGAUAUUAGAAGGAACACCAAUAGCGAAGGCAGGAUGCUGGGAUGGUACUGACACUAAGGCACGAAAGCGUAGGGAGCAAACGGGAUUAGAUACCCUAGUAGUC